AGGAGUAUAGUUCAAUGGUAGAACGACGGUCUCCAAAACCGUGCGUUGAGGGUUCGAUUCCUUUUACUCCUGCCA
rnacentral:tRNA from 1 species